rnacentral:misc_RNA from 1 species
AAAAUGCGAUAAGUAGUGUGAAUUGCAGAAUUCAGUGAAUCAUCGAAUCUUUGAACGCACAUUGCGCCCUUUGGUAUUCCUUAGGGCAUGCCUGUUCGAGCGUCAUCUAAACCUUCAAGCCCUGCUUGGUGUUGGGUGCCUGUCCCGCCUCCGCGCGCGGACUCACCUCAAAUCCAUUGGCGGCCCCCGCGUCGGCCACGAGCGCAGCAGAAACGCGAACUCGUGAGCCCGUCCGGGCGGCUCCCAGAAGCUACACCCACCCAGUUUGACCUCGGAUCAGGUAGGGAUACCCGCUGAACUUAAGC